rnacentral:rRNA from 1 species
UGGGGAAUUUUGGACAAUGGGCGAAAGCCUGAUCCAGCAAUGCCGCGUGUGUGAAGGAGGCCUUCGGGUUGUAAAGCACUUUUGUCCGGAAAGAAAUGGCUCUGGUUAAUACCUGGGGUCGAUGACGGUACCGGAAGAAUAAUGACCGGCUAUCUACGUUCCAGCAGCCGCGGUAAUACGUAGUGUCCAAGCGUUAAUCGGACUUCCUGGGCGUAAAGCGUGCGCAGGCGGUUGUGCAACACCGAUGUGAAAUCCCCGAGCUUAACUUGGGAAUUGAAUUGGUGACUGGAAGGCUAGAGUGUGUCAGAGGGGGGUAGAAUUCCACGUGUAGCAGUGAAAUGCGUAGAGAUGUGGAGGAAUACCGAUGGCGAAGGCAGCCCCCUGGGAUAACACUGACGCUCAUGCACGAAAGCGUGGGGAGCAAACAGG